rfam:Halarchaeum acidiphilum MH1-52-1 DNA, contig: HAL014.
GACGUCGGAGGAUAGAGGAAGUCGCCGCAGGGCGGCUGGCCGUGAAAUCCGAC